rnacentral:ribozyme from 1 species
UAACAUUCAGGAAACCUCAAGACGAAAACUGAAGCGAAUCUAUAAAACAGUAAAAGAAAACAAUAUAGAAAAGCUCUCGACUGUCUAGCUUUUUGCUUGCAUAUGGUUUUAACCUGUUUUUAUCACCCAUAUUCACUGAUAAUUUUUUGCGUGAGUGUAAGAUACAAAGGAGGAAAGG